rnacentral:rRNA from 1 species
AUAUAAAGGAGCGGGUAUCAAGCACACAUAUAAGCAGCUCACGACACCUUGCUUAGCCACGCCCCCACGGGAAACAGCAGUGAUAAAAAUUAAGCUAUGAACGAAAGUUUGACUUAGUCAUGCAAUAUAAUAAGGGUUGGUAAAUUUCGUGCCAGCCACCGCGGUCAUACGAUUAACCCAAAUUAAUAAACCACCGGCGUAAAGAGUGUUUAAGAGUAUAACAAAACUAGGAUUAAAUUCUGUCUCUGUUGUAAAAAACCACAGACAGAUGUAAACCCAAUAAACGCAAGUAAUCUUAUUAUAUCUGAACACACGACAGCUCAGACCCAAACUGGGAUUAGAUACCCCACUAUGCUAAGCUAUAAACACAGAACAUUAAACAAAACAAAAUGUUUCGCCAGAGAACUACUAGCCACGGCUAAAAACUCAAAGGACUUGGCGGGUCUUCACACCCACCUAGAGGAGCCUGUUCUAUAAUCGAUAUUCCCCGAUAAACCUUACCACUUUUUGCUAAUACAGUCUAUAUACCGCCAUCUUCAGCAAACCUUUAUAAAGAAUAAAAGUAAGCACAAUAAUAAUCGUAAAAACGUUAGGUCAAGGUGUAGCUAAUAAAGUGGAGAGAAAUGGGCUACAUUUUCUUUAUAAAGAACACUUAAACGGAAACUAUUAUGAAAUUUGAUAGUGUAAGGAGGAUUUAGUAGUAAACCAAGAAUAGAGAGCUUGGUU